rnacentral:lncRNA from 1 species
GAGAUAUAUUUUUUUACAAGUAGUCUAAGAUAAACAGUAAAGCUAUCCUAGAGGACCCAGUGGAGGAAAGAAAACAACAUCAGGUAUCUAAUGUGUGUCAGAAGGAGGAUAAUGGAAAGGGGGGCUGUUAUGACUCAAGAAUGAUGCUUCUAAAUCAGGGGUCUCAAACUUAACCACAGCAAGGGUCAUAAUCUGGAUUUAGGUCUAGCCUGAGGGCAAAACAGGGUCAACAUUUCACCAAAACUUUCAACCUCCUUUUCAAAAAAUAUGUAACAAAAACAGCAAUGAUUAUAAAUCAUUUAGAAAUUAAAAAAAGAUAAGUUUAAAGGCAAUCUGAAAUAGAAAAAUUUAAUUUAUUUUAAUUUUGUAUUCUAUUUUUAUUUAUUGUUAAAAAGAUCAGGGUAUGAUAUUAAAAAUAGAAAAAUAAUGGUUUUAAAGAGCAAAUACAUGAAAUCAGAUUUAAAAGGUCAAAAUUAGACUUAAAAUUUUAAAUUGGAAUCUAAAGUAUAAAAAUGACACAGGUCUAAAUACUGAGUUGAACAAAAUCAAAGCAUAAAAAUAAAAAAUCCAAUCAUGUUUGACUUGUAAUCCUAAAAUGCAAAAUUGAAAACAUGAAAUAAAACACCAAAUAUUUCCCCCCUACAUUCUUGACUAUUUAUCAAAUCGUCCUUACUCUUUAGAUUUUUGUGGUUUAUUAAGGACAUUUUAAACAAUGGUGCUAAAGUUUACAUUAUUAUACUGAAGGAAAUCUGCAGACUUCAUACUGGUAGGCCUAUAAUAAUACAAAUAUGAUAUGAUCUUGUGGGCCAGAUAUAAUUGUUCCACGAGUUUGACACCUGUGUUCUAAAUAAGAACUUCACAAUGAACCCUCAGAUAUUAGUUGUAAUGUUCUACAUUAUUCUUGGAGUCUUUAGGAGACAGAUUGGGCUGGUGCAGAGUGUGUUACAGUGUGUUAACACUGUGUUACAUGCAUAGACUGAAUGGAUACAUGCCAUUGGCUGAAUUCACAUUUCGUUACCAGGGUUACUAGAAGUGGGCGCAACCCAUGUGCCAAGGCUGUAAUGACGUCACUGCACCACCUGUCCCGGAUAAACAAUCAAGCGCCCCCUCCACCUUGAAACUUUGCGACCGGAAUUUAAGUUUUUUUUUGCUUUAUUUCGCAAAUAUUAGUUGGACAAAUUUACCAUAAAUUACACGAGGUACCGAUAACGUAUCGCGUUAUUUUUGUAUCGGUAGAAAUCGGAAGGGAGUGGAAAACGUCGACAGCGGAGGCCCCCCAAGUGAGGAUGUUAAUGUUAUGAUUCCAUUGCGGAUGGAGGUCUGUCCUCACCAGCGACAGAAAAACUGUGAGUAGGCGUCAUUAACUGAGAGUUGGUUACUGCUGUUCCCCCUGCUGAGAAAUCAGUGCAGGCUUCACUGCGUGCUUCUGUAUGCAUAUGAAGAUUACUCCUCUUUGUUUUGAAGUAUUUAACUCCAGCAGCGCUACAGCCUGUUCAGGCCAAGUCUUCAGUAAACAAAGAUACUUUUCUUGUGGUUACUGUGACUUAAUUUUUGACUGUUUGGAAAUCUUAGGGGACUGUUUUUAUGCUGUUUUAUGUAGUUUAUGAUUAAGGGAUUAAUUCUGCUGCUACCUGUUGAAGUGAGGAGCAUUUAGGCAGAAGAGCUGACUACACAUGUACUGACAGUGCAGUGUAUAAAUACUGAACAAUGUAGGUAGUAGUAGUUUAUUCAGUCAUGACAACACCAGAUAAUGUUCUCAAUAUUGACAUUUCACACAAAAUCACUAAAUCAAGAAUCAUGUGUUGAUUAUUGACUGAAAAGGCAUAGGCAGAAGCAGACUGCUUAUAAAAGCCUAUCCUGUAUUGUCGACCUACAUAAAAGCAAAGAAACCACAACAACGGAUUAUUAAUCACACUUAUAAGCUUCAAAAAUAGCUUUACAAACCAUUUUCUUAAAAAAGAAAAUUUCUGUUUUUAGAUUUAUGUUUGCAUCAUUCUAGAAUUUAACUCCAGUAAUGGAGACACAUCUCCUUUUCAUACCUUUUUUUAGCUUUUUGUACAGUAAAUUUGCAAGCACCUCUGAGAUUUUGCUCUAAACAUAAUUUGCAUAGCUCGUUUUUGCAGUUUUAUUAUUGAAUUUAUAGUGGUUUUAAAGAUGGAUCCCCACAGUUCCACACAGUAUGAUAUAUAGGGAACAAUCAAUGAGUAGUAGAUCAAAUGCAAGGCCUUUGAAUUCAAUAUUUUUCUCGAUUUUGAAUUAUGUAUUCAAUAUGUUCUUUUCUCCUUCAUUGGUGCAGGUGAAAAUAAGGUAAUGUGGAUAAAUUAAUUGAUAAAUAACAUUGACAGCCAUAAUUAAAACACUAUCUUGCACAUUUGCACACUCUUUCAUAUUGCAUAUUGUCAUGUGCUGCACAUUUGCAGAUGGAUUAUAGUUUUAUACUUUUUUCUGCAGUGCUAUUUUUGAGUGUAAGAUUACAUAGUAAUGAUGGUUGGUUUUUGAAUUUUAAAAAAUCACCUUUGCUUUGAAAUAUUUGAAAGAAUUUAUUUCCACUAUAUUUAAAAUAGCAUUGGUGCUUCAGUUUAAAGCUAAAGUCAAAUAUGCAGGCUUUCAAUCACCUGGUUGUGUUACAGCUAUGUGAUUUGCUGACAUCUACCUCCUGCCUGUUCAGCAAACAAAUUCAUCAGAACAGAUGGACAUGCAUGCUUGAGUUCAGGGUCAGUGACUCAUUGGUGGGACAUUGCUUUCUCAAAUCCUCCUCCAGGUAGACAGCCAGCUGUAACCUGAUUUUUUAACGGGCUUUUAUGGAAACUCAAAACAACUUAAAUUUGCUUGUUUGCAGAAGACAAAGUGCUCCUCAGUGCUUGAAGUAGAUGAUAAAAUGAAGUUAAUUUUUUCUUUUACUAAGGCAUAAUGACUUUGACAUAAGUAAUACUUCAUCUGAGUAACGCUGAUAUUUCAGCACUCUUUCCACCCUAUUAUAAAAGACACAAAAUAAGAACACAAUUACUAAUAACUAGUUUGUCUCUGACAUAGACUGAGCUGGCUUCUUUUAUAUUGACACUGAAAAAUGAGUUACUCCUCUACCAACUAUUCAGUCAAACUUUAAUCGUUUAAAACUUUUAUUACAAGUCAAUUUAACCUCCUUCCAAAGUGAUGAAGUGGAUAAAUAAAUAUGCAAUCUAUGAAACUCUAAUUAACUAAGACAUUAAACAAGAACAGGAAUGUGGGAAUCAUUACUUUAGAGUGAGGAAACACCGCAGACAAACUUAAUCAGAGUCCAUUUUUUUUAUCUGAUAUUUGCAAGGCACUAUGUACGAUAAGAAACAUAGAUUUUAUAAGUAAGUGUGUCAUUUGAUAGUCAGCUUCAAGUUAUUUGUUAGUUUGGCAGGUCUUAAAUUAAACAUCGACAUAGACUGCAGAUUAAAAACUCACUUCUGAAACUUCUUUUUAUAUAAUCUAAAAAAAUCAAGUGUCUCCUGUGAAAAUAUUAGUUGACAGGUGAAUAUAGUCCCAUUAAAAUCACAGUUUAGUCACUUUCUCCAGAGAAAGAUGAUCGUUAAAGUUGAAGUCUGACUUGCAGGACGUGUUUCCACUUUUCGCUUCUAACUUUUAUGAAGUGUAAACAACAUCUCGUUUUGAUUUUUCAAACCGAAAGACAAUUUCAGCGAUAAUGCUUCUCUGUUUAGGUGUUUUUCCUGCAUCUGCACCUGUUUUACAGCUGUAGGAUUUGACGACUGAGAGCAUAACAACAAACAAAUUUAGAGGAGGAGAAGAGGAAGCGAGAGAUAGAGAGAGGUGAACAUCUGGAUGGGAGGAAAUUACAGAUGGAGAGGGUAGAAGGCAUGAAGCAGAGGGAAUUAAGGGAAAGAUAUAAUGAGCUUGAGGAUGAAAAGUCGACCGUGGUGGGUGGAGAAUUCCUCAUUUAGCGCUGUUCUCCUGUCUCCUAAUGCUCGAGCUGGAGAUUUAGCCAGACAGAAUUAGACAGAAUGGCUAAAAACAAUCUUAUUAGCAGAAAGAUUGAGAGGAAAUGUUCGACUGUCUUUCUGAUAUUUCACAGUGAGGCAUUAGCUUUUGGGUUCUGUAACCACGGAGCAGUAACAGUAGGGCUGCUGCUUGCUUUUAUGCGUUUUUUUUUUGGAAAUGAUAAGGGAAUAGCAGCACCUUAUUCCAUUAAGAGUUGUCUGUUUAAAGGACAGACUAACUAGGUUUUUGUGUUGGCUCUCAGCCGUCCCGCCUGAGAAGUGAGGCGUCUUGCAGUCAGCCAAAAUGCUGAAAUAUCUCUGGUGGCUCAGCAGUACUCAGGCCGGGUUCCUGUCUGCGCAUAAUGUCACCGUGUCAGCUUAGAGAGGUUCAGCAGCUCAUCAAGACUCAGUAAAACUCCAAGUGGAGGAAACAGGGAAAAUGUGACGUCGGUGUCUUCCAAUUUGGGUCCGCAGAGAGGCGACUGAAAUGUAGAGCUUGGGCUGCAGAAGUCCUCGGUGACUCUGCACAUGCACGCUACUGUAAUUAGCGGAUUUAAGUCUGGAUUGGCCUAGUUCAUAGUCAUCCCUCUUUGAAGUCGAGCAAUGCUUACUCAGUGUCACAGACUGGAGUUAGACAAAAAAAAUAUCCCAACCUUCUCAGUUGAAAUCAGGACUGACUCAAAUAAAUUCCUGACUUCAGGGCUGUUGUCCGACAUUGUUUGCUAUCAUCUCUGGCUCAUUUUGUCUGAGGUCUUUUGGAUUUUUGAACAUUUAGGCCUAUUUUUCAUAUUUUUUCACUCAACCAACCCACCACAGUUGGAGUUUUGCUUGUUGGUUUCUUUUUCUUCCUAGUGCUGUUUGUGAGAUUGUCAGACUUCAAGGGCGGUGCUUUUAUCUUGAAAAGCUCCAACCCCAUUGCAUAUAACACCUCAAAAUGACAGACUUCUCUUUAUCCUUGACAAGCCAUUUAUCAACCAUUUGGCCGUUCAGUCCAGAUCUGUUAAAACUUAUCUUUUUACUCUUUUGAGAGAAAAUGACACCUUUUCUAUAACAUUGAUAACAUCAUUUGUAUGUACUUGCUGCCAGUAUUAUACUUCGUCAUUUUUGUCAUUAACUUUCCAGUUUUCAAAUAUUCUAUCUUUCAAAUACAUUGUGUCCCAUUUAAGAGCAGUAUUGACACCGCACACAUUGCUUUAUAUGCUCAUAGAUUUCUUCCCAACACGUUUUAAUAACAUGGCAAUCCCAGAGUGGAUGGUAGCGAUUGAUUUCCUCUAUCCCACAGUCUCCAAAAAGCAUCAGCACUACUCUGAUACCGGUUCUUGAAGGGUGUAACAAGAAAUCUGAUGAUGUUUGUCCAGCAGAUCUCACGCCACAUGUUUGCCCCCAAGACAGUAUUUUACUCUCAAUGAUGGGACUAUGUGUUAAUAGUUGGCGUCUUUGUAUUUAUAUUUAUUAAGAGGUUCAAAACGUUUCGAAUAGCUUCAGUAAAGCAGAAUCUGGCUGCAGUGGCACAACAUCUUCAGCCAGUUAGUUCACAUUGAAACUUGCUUUAAAGAUGGGGUAGGCAGGAUCUGAGGAAGUGCCAGUUUAUGGGAGAAAUGUUGAAUGUAAACUGACGCUCCUGCUCGCUCGUAUUGUUCCUAUUAAAUUCAGAUAUAAUGCAGAUAAAUACUUCAGAUAAUUACAAAUGGGGUCCAGUCAACAUGAAAGUAAAAAGCAUAGGUGCUACUGUAGAUGCCAAUAGACUACCAGCAAACACAAAGUUUGCAGGACUUUUACAACUAGGAUAAAGUGACAAACUCCAGGACCCGAGGUAAACAGUUUAGCGGCGCUACGACACGCAGCAGGUCCUAUUUGACAAGAAACACUUCUGUUACAGACACUUGGCUUACUUUGUUAAAGUGGUUUACCUGUCCAGCGUCCCCCAUCAUUGUUGACCUGGCUUUUUAGCUCUUGUCCGGUCUACCGCCUUUGUACGUGCCCGUUAUCCCCCCAGAGUCUCCGGUAUUUACUGUUUUCUUGCUUGUGUCAGUGGUCGUGGCCAAAGUAGGAUUCAGACAAUUUUCUGUACUUUCUGGUUGGUUUCUGCUGUCUGAUAUUGUAGCACGCUAACUUUGUUUGAGCUCCUGAACGACACGGGGGAACAGCGUCCGCCUCACAACCAAUCAUGUCAGGGGAGGCGGGGAAUGGCUUUGUUUACAGUCAGAAAGAGCGGAGCGCUCUGAAAUUUUAAAAUGUUGACUACACAGACACAACAAAACACAGCAAUAUCAUUAUAUUACAAAAUGUCAUCAAUAACUAAUAGCUAUUGACUGAUAUUAAUGGCUUUUUUGUAUAUACACCACAAAAAAGAUGCUUCUUUAACGGAUUCCUGACACCAAUCUGCUAGCUGAAUGUGUAUACUUUCCUGGACAAACUAAAAUCAUUCACAUCUCCCCAAAGCACAGAUUGACAACCAUUACGGCCUUUUUCAUGGCUGCACACAGAAGCAUCCAUCAGAGCAUGUAGAUAACUUUUUGCCUGUUAGUUACUGAAACUACUAAAUUUAAAAAAGCCUCAGUUUGAAAAGCCAUGUCUAAACAUUUUAAGGAUGUAUUGUUCAUUGUAGACCUUUAAUAACAGAUAUCUUCGGUUGACUUAUUUUCUUACAGUAGAAGACUGUUAGUUCAGAUCAGACUCCUUUAUUCAGCCUGAAACUCAAAGUUUGAAAACAGCUCCACAUGACUUUGACGAAUGACUAUAAUUUAAAAUAUAAUUGCAUGACUGUCACAACAUGUACAAAAUGAAUUCCAAAGAGACGUUAUGAAGUGAAAACAGUUCCCUCUGUUGUCACUCUCGCUUCUCAGUGGAGGCUCGGCAGGAACAUUUAAACAGCUCUGAUAAUUCACUUCCUCUCUCUGCAGAAUCUCUGCGUUUCGUCAUUAUUCUUCAUGGCUUUAUUCCUCCUCUGCUCAUUUUCACCCUGCCUUUUUAUUUCCCCUGAUGUGUCUCUCUCUGUAAAGUUUGGAGCAUUAUUGUGGAGCAUGUUUGAGGAAAAUGCAACACGUAAUUUAAUGCAUUUGGACCGUUUAAAUUCACAGCAGAUGAUAAUCACAUCUCCUGAAGCAAUACCAAUAACACAUUUUUAAAUUAUAACCCUCCUGUUUCAGCUAAACUAAUAGAUGAUAUACGGCAGAGAUCUUAAUCUGUUUUUUUCAUAGAAGCCUGUUCACGUCUCUACUUCUGUAAACUUUUCUCAAAGUUUUCCUCCUAGUUUAAACUCAUUUAAUCCUUGAAACUUUGGUCUGUGACAGAUUUUCUGAAGAAGGCUCUUUGUUUGUGUUCUCUUGAUGACAAUAACGCCUGAAUCGAGUGCAAACUGACAAAAAACAAUGACUGGAGGACAAGCCGUGAGGAAGGAAAAGACAAAAGAAGGAUUUUGACAAAGAAAAGUGUCGCCCACAGUCUGCUGGAAGUGAUUGACAGUAAAGAUCAUUGGCUGGUAGACGAAAUUGACGAGAUGUGCAGAAUAAACGUCAGACAGCAGAUUUAGGGGAAUUGGACUGUAUGCCUGACUGCUUUACACACUGAUAGAAUUAAAGGCUUCACUAGACACAAUAUUCAUGAGGAAGUCAAUCCAUCUUACUGACCUUAAUUAUAAAAUCAGACUCCAACUGAGAACAUUUACCAAACCUGCACAGAUGACUUUGUUUCACUUAGGGACACUGUUGAGAAAUUAAAACCUGAUCCUCAUAUUUCAGGGCAGUUCAGGAGUUUAACACUUAAGUUUGAAACAUGUUUGCAGACAGAUGACAGCAUACAUAUGUCCAGAGUUCAAUCAUCCAGGUGCUAGGUAAAAGUCUACAAUCAUGGGAUGUCAGAGAGACUGUUCUUGUGGUUAAGUCAUGGAAAAUACUGCUUUAAACAACAACAACAAAAAGCGGCAUGACUGACACAGAGCCAUGUUUGAUGGUCGACUUGCACAUCCUGCAAUGUGUUUUUUGCAUGUGAGCAAAGAUAAAAGAUGUCUUUCACAUCGCAAUACUCCAAAAUCCUGGAUUGUGAUACACAUCAAACUCUGAUUGGCCAAAAUAAGAGCGAAUCAGCGAGCAUGUGCAAAAAUCCAAACAAACAGUGAUUGUAGUGGGACAGUUUGAGUCAUGUGAUCAGUCUUUUCCUUUUCUCUUGUCCUUUUGCCAUCCAUGGAAAUUAUUAGCAAAACUCUUACUUCAUGAACCUUUAGUCUGUUUCAGUUCUGUCUCAGGGCUGAUUAAUGCUUCAAGUCCAGGAGCUUUCUGUCUACUUUCAUCGUUAGUCUGUAUUUUUACAGGUUUUUUUUUUAGAGUAAAGGUCCUUACACACCGGGGCCAACGUGAAUAUAGAACGCGAAAUUACGAAAUAUUCAGAGGCGAAUUUUGACGUGCCUGACUAUACAUAUCAAGCCAACGCGAUUUUGCGACUUUCCGGGGGGAAAAAAGACGCGUUCCGGGUGGAAGUGAGAAGACUGACACAACAGCAGACUGACUGUUUUCAGUUCUGAUUAGACACUAGUGUUGAGAUGACUGUCUGUCAUGAUAGCGUGUACUGAGUCGGGGCCAGCACCAGAUAAGAACAUUAAACUAUAAUCCAUAAACGUAAGGUAACAACCGAGACCUAAUGGUGCUGUGACAGCAACGCCAUUGAGUUUGAGACAGUGAAAAUACAUAUGGUAUGUUGUUUCUGAACUGGUUAGCCCAUGAGCUACAGUUACUUAGCACAGAUGAAAGUUAAAACAAAGAGGUUUAGCAAACUGUUAAAGCACACAAACCAUCGUCAUAUGAGAAAUCCAACGCUAUGACUCUCCACAAGUUGUCCUUCAGGUCGUUAUCUUUGUAAUAUUUGUGCCUUUCAUCAAAAAAGAACACUGCUCUGUGACACGUGAACAAUCAGCCGGUCGGCCAUGUUGGAUAUCUCGGUGAAUCAGACGUCGCAACAACACGCAAUCUGAUUGGACACACAGUAUGCGUAACUUUAGAAAAAUUGUGAUACGAAAAAAUAAAUGCCGCAGGACAGAAAAAUGUUGCUGAUGUGAACGCUUGUAUUGACAGGAUACAGGUUCAAAAAAAAAAAUAUUGACGUCUGAAAUAAUUGAAUGAAAAAAACAUGCGAAAAAACAAAAAUGAAAAGCUAGAUUUUCUCUGUAACUUCCUAAGCUGCCCCUCCAGACUCCCACUGUUCCUGCUCUCCCCCCACGUUCACUUCCUGCAGAGACACACACAACAACAAGAUGGUUGCUAGCAUGAGUGGAAAAAUUGGUUUGGUUUUAUGGUGUCAGACCUCAAGCAAACCACAGUGUUUCCAGUCAUGUCUUUGUCCUUUUGUAGUUUCAUUUUCAGGAGGAAAAAAAUGAUAAAAAUUGUAAAUUUAGUUUUUUGUAAGACUUUUGUGUCCAUGUUGCAGCACAACCUGAAACUGUCAGGGCAGUGUUCAAGCCAGACAUGGAGGAAAAAAUGUAGAAAAUGGAGAAAAGGCUGUGCGUAUUACUUAAAAACUGUAAACAUAUUUUUAAACUUACCUUGCUCUACAACAGAACAGAUGAAACCGAAUAAUUGUUAGACAGCAGGGAAGGAGAGGGGAGGAGCGGUUCUCAUGCCCUCUUGUACAUGCAUUGUGUUACAUCCAUUCACUGGAGAACUGUGAGCACAGCGUCAUAGAAGCUGACUUUGAAUGUUGACUACUAAAAAUGCUGAACUGCAUCGGUUUUGCAUAAAAAAUAGGUGAUACCAGCGCAAACAACGCUGUGAGCAGAUGCAGGCCCUUGUGCACGAGGAAGGUAGACCUGUCUUGUUCUAAUCCUUCCGUUGCCUCAAAGCUUUCCAUUACCUUUGAGGCAGAGAGGAUGCUGAGCAUGUUUCUGACAUGCAGCUCAGACUUGAAUCCUUCUCGGAGAAGGAGUUUUUACUUCCAUGACAGCAGUUCUCCCUCUGAGACCCAGGAGAGAGGAAGAAAGCAGAGGAGUGAGGUGAAACGAGAGAGAGAGGGAGGAGAGAAGUGAGGUGGAGACAGAUCAGUGAAGAGUCUGACCCUCGGGGGGUAUGACGUGCUCUGAGGAUGUGGGCGUACAAGUGGAGGUCUAACAAGUGUGAUUGAGGUUUCUUCAAUACCUUUCACUAUGGGACAAAUUGCCUCCCACUUCCAAAGAGCACUCGCCAGCGCUGCAUUGAUUGGUUACCCAUCAUGCACCUCGGGCUGGAGUUCUUGCUUGUGGCUGUGGUUGGACAUGGUUGGGACAAAAUCAGCUCCAGAGGUAACCUUGUCUUUAUCUGAUUUUUUUGAGGACUGUAAUCAGUCACUGAACCAGAACUUCAAAAUAUGACACCUGGCUUUACUCUGACCUCAGUUUUGUAAACUGUCCUCUUACAUGUGGUCUUGGUGUGCCAUUGAAGUUAGUUUACAUGUUAGUUUGAAAUGAUCUGGACGGGUGUAACAGUCACAAGGUUUUUUUAAAACUAGUGAAUCAGGUUAGUCAACUACAUCUUGUUUAGAUUUUGACGAGACUUCUUUCUGAGUUAUUUAGUCUUUUGCUUUUGUUGUGUGUUGAGGUUGUUGAUGUACAGUUUUAGCUUCGAAACCCAUCUACAUAGGACUGUAGACGUGGUCAUUACAUUGAGAUAAGAUAAGCCUCCCUCUGCCAUCCAUCCUUGAAAGUUUGUGGACUACUAUUUAAAGCCUUGAGUUUGGCAUUUUGGCUUGAAACAUUGCGGUUUUUAUUCCUGCGAAGUUCAGAAUAACCUUGUUUUUGGUCAAUCUGAUUCUAAAUGAUGUCCAAAAUGAAAAUUUUUGUAUUGAAAAGACUUAGAUUUAGAGAUGGAGGCCAUGAACUCCUUUUUACAGUCCAUGUUAGUUGUAAAGUGACCCCAGAAAACACUCUGUCGCUGUCCUUGGUCCUGAAAAUGCCUUGGCCUCAAAUAGCUUUGACAGCUGCUAAUAAAAAUAUUUCUUUCAGCUCCCUUUUUUAGUCCUUCAGAAAUCAACAGCCAGUCCUCUAUGAAUUAAAAAACAUUCCUCAACAACAUUAGAACAAGUCCAGACCUCAUUUUGAAGAGUUACCAGUCUCAGUCUGCCCAUGAAGAACCAAGACUGUCCUGGCCAAAGAUUGGUUGAUACUGUUGCUAGAAAACCUUGCAGUGCUCAGUCUUGUUGCCCUCUGUUCCCUGGUCCAGUCAUAACCCCCAUACUUGGUUCUGCCUUUACUAGUUUUGAUAGCUUUUCAUUGGCAAUCUGUAAGAAGCAAAGUGGUUCAGAUUUUUCUAAGGAGAUGGAAACAUUUUGUUAUUCAUACUUGCUCUGAUUCCACAUUUCUCCGCACUGACAUUAACAAGAAUAUUCAAAAAAAUACAUAAAUUUUUUAAAGCUCUGGGCUUUGUUUCCUGCUUUGGUCACUCUCCAGUACAUGUUCCAACAUGUAGUUCGAACCCUGAAUCUGAAAACACUCCAUUUGGAGGCCAAUUGGGGGUCUAUUAGGAGCCGAGAUGACCACCACCCUUCUUGUUAGUGUGAGCCAAUGUGGGAAACUGUCUCUGAUGGUUAGACGGUGUUACAGAUCAGUGCAUCAGUGCUCGGGUUAGGUUGGAUCAGAUGAUAGCUGAUGAGAAGACUUCAUAGAGAAUGUAUUUCUGUCUGAUAAAACAGAAUUUGAUGAACUAAUGUUGCAUCACGAUCGUACAAAAUCACAUUUUCUGUUUUAUAACUCAUUUCCAACCCUGUAGAGACCCGAUCCAAAGCCUGGAGAAACCGUCCGUAGGCUGAUUAAUCUCGGUUUCCUUUAGGUAGUAUAACGAAAACCCUGUUCAACAUUUUGUAAAGCUGUACACAGACGAGUUAAUGUACAAUACUCUAAUAGUUACUAGUUUAAAGUACUGAUGUUUCUGUAAAUAAACACCACAUAACUCACACAUACUGAAUUAUCCCAAAGAGAGGAGCUGUGUUCUUGAAAGUAUAUGAGUAUAUUGACCUCCACAUGUACAGAGCAUGUACUUACCGUGAUCAAAGGACAUUGUGAACUGUAUUUAUUUUUGUCAGAGUAUUGGUAUAAAAAAAUUCAGCUUCAUGGCAUCAGUUAAGUGAUAAAUCAUUUUCACAACACUGAAGAGUAACUGAUUCAUUCAUUCAAACAAAUGUUUUAUAUUGGGAGCUGGAAAUAUGUAUGAUACAUGUCUAAGAAAAGGAAACACCCACGUAUAAAAAUGUCUUAGUAAUGUUUCCUUUUAUGUUGUCUAUUUCUGUAAAUAUACUGUAUAUACUGUAAAUUUAAGAUCCAGCGCCAUACCAGGGUUCUGUUUAGAUUGAAUUGGGAAAACUUUGUGAGGAGUAAGUCAAUACUUAAUGAUUAUGUGGAAGUUAUUUGUUUGCAAUCAGAAUUAAAAAAUGAGUUAAAUCUGGAUCAAAUUUCUCCAGAUUUGAUGAUCCACUUUUUGCCAUUCAGGAUCAGGUGAUCCAGUGAACUUUUGUUCUAGUUUGUGAAGAAAAACUUGAUCAACCUGGUCGAGACAAAGACCCAUUAAGAUGACUAAUUUUGGAUUAAAAGAGUCCUGAAUGGGACUUUGUCUGACAUAUUUUGUCCACAGGAGGGCGCCAAAAUCAGCACAUACUGAAAGAUUCUUAAUUGUUUUUAAGGGCUGGACCGGUGGACUAGUUUAUGGGAACAAAUAAAUCUAUUUUUUUGUAUAUUUUUUCUUAAGGUUUCCAGAAAACAAAGUUAUUAUCAAGAUGAAAACUUGCCUGCUACUGUUAUUGGCACAAAACAGCUGUAAAAGUUAAUUAACAGAUUCAGCAGGUAUGGAUAUUUCUGCAGGUGUAUUAUUUUGUAAUUAUUGGCCACAAAGGAAACAGACAGAAAAUAGAGACAGGAAACAAACCUUAGAUGCAGAACUAAAUGUCUUUAUUAAAAGAAAAAGAAAUUUAUCAGCAGAGGUAGAAUCAAAUCCUGCUUGUCUUGUUUUAAUUACGGCUCUAAAACAAAUAGACCAUCACAAUAAAAUUUAUUAAAUUUCCUUUAAUUCUGUCUCAGAUUGAUUCUGUUACCAGUGAAAAUGCAACCCUGUUUCCCAAAAGCUAAAACUGGAAUAUUUGAUCCAAACUGUUUUCAUAAUUGUUUUCUCCUUUUGAAAACAUUAUUUUUUGGGGGGUACGGUCCAGUCCUGUUUCUUAAUUCCCACCAGAUUAUGUCUAGAAAACUCAGGCCUGGGGUUUAAACAAAGGCUGUUCAAAUCUGUGACAGCUUCUAAUAAUUUAUUCUAAAACCUUUUUGUGUAAAACUUGUAGGACGGAAAAGUCCUCCACUUACGUAAGACCGUCUCAAGUGUGACUUUAAAUAUCAAACCCUGCGCUCCUGGGUAGUGAGUUAUUUCCCACAUGGACCUCAAAGCAGUCAAUAAGUGUUGAUUUACUCUUUAUAUUAAUUUCUUCCCUUCUCUUUGGUUUCAGCGGGGCUCUUGGUAAAAGCCCUCUGGUGUUUUGGUUUCUCUGUAUUACAGCUGUUUGUAAUUUUCAUGUAAAAUACCAUCUGAGUAGAGGCAACAUUUUUAAAAACAACACGAAGCAUCGCUGGACUCAUUACAAAGCUAAUAUUACUUUUUAAAUGAAGUGUAUUAAAGAUAUAUCAGAAACAACCUGUGUUGAUACAAAACUGUACUUCAAAUAAAAGCACAAGCUGUCAAAA